GAGAAACUAUCGUCGAUUUUUUGUCCUCAUGAUCUCCGCACUUCUCUUGCUUAUCUUACAAUGGUCGAUUGGAGUGCUAGUGUUGAUUCUCUGCUUCAUCGAGCGGAAACAUUUCUCUGUAGAGAUCACCUCAAAGCUGGGCAGCAGCUUCUCUUUGGCGCCUUUUGUUGUUGUGGUGGCUUCAUGCACCUUCUUAGCGAUCAUUGCAACUCUACCGCUUGCU
rnacentral:misc_RNA from 1 species